GUGGUGCGAGGGCCAGUGGACCCACGAUCGGCCAACAAGCGGCUCGCAUCGCUACAACUGAUCAAAAAUAGAGGUUCCAACCCUUUAAAUCACAAAAUCGAGGCAUCUCGACAGUUGGAACUCCAGCCAAGAUCAUAAGCCACAGUGGAGAACCGAAGGGAGAUCUCGGUGACGAGUAUCAACGACAGAAAUAGCCAGAAUCAAAAGAAAAAGAGGUUGGUUUCUAAAAACAAGAAAAGCAAAGCAUCCCCUUUUCGCCCAAAAUUCAGCGAUUACCAUAAGGAGUCCAAAAGAAAGAGGAGAAGAGUAGAUAUAUGGUGCCAAGGUUCUUAUCGGUUUUCCUACCAUGUUUGGUUGCGACAACGAUGCGAACGACGGCCGGUGCUUGC
rnacentral:lncRNA from 1 species